CAGAGAAGGAAAGUAUCCAGGUUGGCUCCCUCCAGUUAUGCACCUUCUUCUGUCAGUAGGGAAGCUGUUUCAGCAGGGGAGUUGGACUUGAUGAUCCCCAGAGGUCCCUUCCAACACCUAGGAUUCUGUGAUUGCUUGUCUUCAGGAGCACUAUGGCCAGAAUGUACAAUCAGAAGAAUUUUUUUAUCUUCCUUUAUGAGGGAUAGAGAUGUUUGUGGAAAACACUCAUCUGCCUGCAAUAAUCAUGUUUCAUGUGCUUAGAAUUAGAUCAAUAACAUGGGCUCAAGUACAGCACUGACUUGAUUGGCUUACUGCUGCCUUUCUACUUAAGAGCUGCUCCUCCUGGCUGUGUUCUGCAGGCAAUCCCUCAGCACAUCUUUCACCCCCAAAAACAUCUCCAAGGAUUUCUGAAGGAAAUAUCCACCAGGUUCGGCCAAGAAGCAAAAGCACAACAGACUUUUUAAGCCCAUCUUGGGGCUAAAUAAAUAAAUGAAUUUAUAAUCUC
ensembl:lncRNA